CCUACGUGAUGCAGCAGUGAGGACUAUUGGUCAAUGGGCGCGAGCCUGAACCAGCCAAGUAGCGUGAAGGAUGACUGCCCUACGGGUUGUAAACUUCUUUUAUAAAGGAAUAAAGUGAGGCACGUGUGCCUUUUUGUAUGUACUUCAUGAAUAAGGAUCGGCUAACUCCGUGCCAGCAGCCGCGGUAAUACGGAGGAUCCGAGCGUUAUCCGGAUUUAUUGGGUUUAAAGGGAGCGUAGAUGGGUUGUUAAGUCAGGUGUGAAAGUUUGCGGCUCAACCGUAAAAUUGCAAUUGAUACUGGCAGCCUUGAGUACAGUUGAGGUAGGCGGAAUUCGUGGUGUAGCGGUGAAAUGCUUAGAUAUCACGAAGAACUCCGAUUGCGAAGGCAGCUUACUAAACUGCAACUGACAUUGAUGCUCGAAAGUGUGGGUAUCAAACAGGAUUAGAUACCCUUGUAGUC
rnacentral:rRNA from 1 species